AUGCAGAGCACUAAUUCUGAGUAUGGGUCACCAUACUUGGCUGAAUGUCACGUCACUUUCACUUUCACUUUCACUUAUUGGGCUCGUUUCUCAAGCUUGAUGUACAACGGGUGCAAUAGUUUAAUCCCAACCCUCCACCAAAGACCUCCAGCAGCUCUCUAUAGCGUGUGUGUGUGCGCGUGUGUGUGUGUGUGUGUGUGUGUGUGUGUGUGUGCACGCUCUUUAAUUCCACACAUCAGUCACCACACGUCUUCUAAUACUUCCUUUUGUAUUGUAUUUACUACUCUGCCUCUGAUGAUUAUUGUUGGUGUGGGAAUGCUUCUUGUGAACAAGUGAUGUAGAAAUCUUCAUACUGGUUUAAUAUCACAGUGAUGGAGAUCAGCAGUAGUCUGUAAGUAGCAGUGUGUGGCAUUAAGGACAGGUUUAUCUUCAGUAUUUGUUAUAUCCAUAUAAUCAGUGAUGUUGCUUGUGUCUUUCCCUCAUUUAUUUACUUUGUAAUACAGUUACAAUAUGAAUAUAUACAUAUUUGUGUGAUUUAUUAAAAUGUAUCUACAUCAAGGAAGUCUUAUUGCUGUUUAUUUCAUUCUACACCAUUAAAAUAACUAGAUAUCCAUUAAAUGUAAUUUUACUUUAAUGGUUUUAAAGUAGUGUACAGUGUAAACAAUAGUAGUCCUACAUAUGUACAGAUAAAUGUAAACAACACAGGAAUAGCCCAUAUUUCACAAAUAAUCACUGAAAAAUACCAAACUAAUUUCAUAGUUUUACUUUUUCAUAAUGAGUGCAGGUAUGAUUUGACCUCAACAUCAAAUUUAGUUGAUUGAGGUAUAAAUUACAUAAAAGAAUGUUAAAAUGGACAGAUAUUAGUGAACUGGUCGAGUGCAAUGCGUCCAAAUAAUUCAGUUCAAUUGAAAUGUAUUUGUAUAGUGCUUUUCACAAUACACAUCAUUUAAAAAAUGCUGCUAUUAACUCUUCAUGUGUAUUUUCAGUUCAGUGACUAAUAGUAAAGUUUAUUCGUUAUGCGGUUACACACCGAGCGCUGUGAUUGGCCCAUCCACAGAAGCGCGGAGAAAAGAAGCAAGAACCUCGUGCGUACGGACCAAUCACAGUGUCCUGGGUUUAUCCGCAUUAUUAAUUAUAUUUAACCACUUGAGGGGGUUUUCUUUCACAGGCCAGGAAGAAGUUUAUCACUUCUGAGCUUUAUGUUCAAAUUUCAACACAAAAUCGUCCUGAGUGCUGCUAAAUAUGUUUACGUCACGCCCCUGUUUACAUUGGAGUAGCGUGACGUCGUCAGUAGCGUAGCUGCGUGAACCGGAAGACGAAGUUGCCGAAUCUUUCCUCUAGAGUCCGCUGAAAGAAAACAUCAACAUUAUUGUGAUCAUCGCGCUGAACUGUC
rnacentral:lncRNA from 1 species